CAUGCAGUCGAACGAUGAAGCCCACUUGUGGGUGGAUUAGUGGCGAACGGGUGAGUAACACGUGAGUAACCUGCCCUUGACUCUGGGAUAAGCCUGGGAAACUGGGUCUAAUACCGGAUAUGACCUUCCAUCGCAUGGUGGUUGGUGGAAAGCUUUUGUGGUUUUGGAUGGACUCGCGGCCUAUCAGCUUGUUGGUGGGGUAAUGGCCUACCAAGGCGACGACGGGUAGCCGGCCUGAGAGGGUGACCGGCCACACUGGGACUGAGACACGGCCCAGACUCCUAUCCUACGGGAGGCAGCAGUGGGGAAUAUUGCACAAUGGGCGGAAGCCUGAUGCAGCGACGCCGCGUGAGGGAUGACGGCCUUCGGGUUGUAAACCUCUUUCAGUAGGGAAGAAGCGAGAGUGACGGUACCUGCAGAAGAAGCGCCGGCUAACUACGUGCCAGCAGCCGCGGUAAUACGUAGGGCGCAAGCGUUAUCCGGAAUUAUUGGGCGUAAAGAGCUCGUAGGCGGUUUGUCGCGUCUGCCGUGAAAGUCCGGGGCUCAACUCCGGAUCUGCGGUGGGUACGGGCAGACUAGAGUGAUGUAGGGGAGACUGGAAUUCCUGGUGUAGCGGUGAAAUGCGCAGAUAUCAGGAGGAACACCGAUGGCGAAGGCAGGUCUCUGGGCAUUAACUGACGCUGAGGAGCGAAAGCAUGGGGAGCGAACAGGAUUAGAUACCCUGGUAGUCCAUGCCGUAAACGUUGGGCACUAGGUGUGGGGGGACAUUCCACGUUUUCCGCGCCGUAGCUAACGCAUUAAGUGCCCCGCCUGGGGAGUACGGCCGCAAGGCUAAAACUCAAAGGAAUUGACGGGGGCCCGCACAAGCGGCGGAGCAUGCGGAUUAAUUCGAUGCAACGCGAAGAACCUUACCAAGGCUUGACAUGAACCGGACCGGGCUGGAAACAGUCUUUCCCCUUGUGGGCUGGUUUACAGGUGGUGCAUGGUUGUCGUCAGCUCGUGUCGUGAGAUGUUGGGUUAAGUCCCGCAACGAGCGCAACCCUCGUUCUAUGUUGCCAGCACGUGAUGGUGGGGACUCAUAGGAGACUGCCGGGGUCAACUCGGAGGAAGGUGGGGACGACGUCAAAUCAUCAUGCCCCUUAUGUCUUGGGCUUCACGCAUGCUACAAUGGCCGGUACAAAGGGUUGCGAUACUGUGAGGUGGAGCUAAUCCCAAAAAGCCGGUCUCAGUUCGGAUUGGGGUCUGCAACUCGACCCCAUGAAGUCGGAGUCGCUAGUAAUCGCAGAUCAGCA
rnacentral:rRNA from 1 species